CGUGAAUCAAGCGGAAUGUACGGUAAGAAUAAGGAUCGGCUAACUCCGUGCCAGCAGCCGCGGUAAUACGGAGGAUCCAAGCGUUAUCCGGAUUUAUUGGGUUUAAAGGGUGCGUAGGCGGCCUGUUAAGUCAGGGGUGAAAGACGGUAGCUCAACUAUCGCAGUGCCCUUGAUACUGAUGGGCUUGAAUGUACUAGAGGUAGGCGGAAUGUGACAAGUAGCGGUGAAAUGCAUAGAUAUGUCACAGAACACCAAUUGCGAAGGCAGCUUACUAUGGUAUGAUUGACGCUGAGGCACGAAAGCGUGGGGAUCAAACAGGAUUAGAUACCCUGGUAGUCCACGCCCUAAACGAUGAAUACUCGAUGUUAGCGAUAUACAGUUAGCGUCAAAGCGAAAGCGUUAAGUAUUCCACCUGGGGAGUACGCCCGCAAGGGUGAAACUCAAAGGAAUUGACG
rnacentral:rRNA from 1 species